CCUUAUUUAGCCUCAGUGGGAGAGGGUGCAGUCAGUUCUGAUGUGACUUGAUGUGCCAUGGCAGUGUGUGAAUCCAUGGACAUCAUGCCAGGGAACAUGGCAGCAGACAGGCAGGAAUGUACUGGAGAAGUAGAUGAGAGCUCACACUCUGAUCCAGCAUGAAGCAGAGAGAGAGAGAGACUGGGCCAGGACCAUCUGCCCAGCAUGGGAUCACCUGCAGUGGGCUGGACCUUCCCACAUCCAUCUAAUCAAGACAAUACCACCAACAGACUUGCCUACUGGCAAAUCUAAUGAAGGCAUUUUUUUUCUCAGCUAAGAUUCCCUUUUCUCAGAUGACUGUAUCUUGCAUCGAGCUGACAAGGAAACAAAAAACCAAUCAAAACAAAGCAAAACGAAAUGGGGCAUCUUUAUUUCAUAGAUUGGGUUUGGAUUUAAAUUCAUACUAUUUCUCAGUGUUCAUACUAUUUCUCAGAAGGCAAAACUUUACCACUAGAAAGCAAACUAUUGUCAAGUACUACAGUAUCAUCUUUGGGGUUUUGUGGGGAUUUUUCAAACGGUAAAAGGGAAAGCAAUCAGCCACAUUCAGAAGUCUGAAUCAAUGUUUCUUUACUAGCAACAAACCAGACUAGACCUCCUUAAAUAAACCCCCAAGGAAAACAGCUGCCUUCUUGGUAACACAGAGUGGCUUCCUCACUUUUAAU
rnacentral:lncRNA from 1 species